GUUAGUGAAUGCACAACCCCAACGUACAGAGGCCUCUUACUGGCUAGGAGCUCACUCCUCCUUCCCUAAAAGACAGCAGAACAAACUGAGUCCAGGUUCUCUCUCUUUUGGUAGCUUCCCAAGAGGCUGAUGUUUUCUUCUCCUUCCUUUACAGCUUUGCAAAUAUGUGCUUUUGACAUCAGUGUACAGUUUGGCAUCUGCUUUGGAAAUAUUCUUGCAAAUAAGGCAGAAAAGACAUCUUUUGUGAAAGGGUCUUUGAUGGAGCCCGAAUUUGCUGCAAAAAUACGAAGAGCUAGACUUGGCAAUCCAGACCUGGGAGUCAGCUCCAUAAGGGUUACUUCACUGCAGCCUGCAGCCUGUUGCACUGCAGCAAGCAGCAAGCCCAUGUUUGGGAGAGGAAAUGAACAAACACAAAUAUCCUGCCUUCCUUCUGAGCUGAAGAGUUGAACAAGGCAAGUAGCUCUGGCAGCUCAGCUUGAGUCUGCAGCAGCACAGGGACUUGGCUUCCAUCCAUCACAUGGCAGUGUAUUUAUGAGACUGGAAAACCGAUUAAAUGAUGUCCGCAGUUCGUAGGGAAAGAGAACAUAGCAACCCAUUUCUCAAAGAGUGGCAGUUCCACAGACCUAAAGACAUUUCUAAGAGAAUAAAAAUAAA
rnacentral:lncRNA from 10 species